ensembl:lncRNA
UUUAGAUCCUCCUAUAUUUUUUCCUAUCGCAUGUUUGCUCUCAUGCGGGCACUACAUCUAGGCCCCUAGUUGCACCACUUUUCAAGUAUGAGAGCCUUCUCUGCCAUAUUUUCCACUGUACAGUUCUUCCUUCUUUCUAUUUGUGUUACCAAGCUCAUGGACUGUGGUAGAGAUAUGGAGAUGGUUUUAUUAGCAUGUGUUUUUUUGGUUUGUUUUGUUGUUGUUUUUUUCUCAGUGUCUAAGUCUCAGCUGGGACAGAGCUGAUUUUUGUCAUGGUAUGACGCUAUGUUCAGAUUACUCAGAAAAAACAAUGUGGAUAACACAUUUAUGUUUGAAGUUGUUGCUAAGCAGCGCUGCACAGAGUCAAGGCCAUUUCAGCUUCUCUGACUGCUCUGCCAGUGAAGGAGCUGGGGUUGCACAAGCAGGCAAGGAAGCCCUUUAUCUAACAGGUGGUAGUCAAUUGGAUGAAUCCAGGCUCUUUCACAUGGUGUCCAGCAACAGAAGAAGGGACAAAGAGCACAAACUGGAAUAUAGCUGCCAACCCAUUUUCCAUCAUUCCAUCCAGUGGUACUGGUCAACAGGGGAGGUCCCAACUGACUGCAGAUUUGAUAAUGGGAUGCUCAUCUACAGUACAGUGCCAAGGAUGUUUCAGAUUUUCAGCUUCUCAUGCUGCUCUGUCAGUGAGCGGGCUUUGGAGGCACAAGGAGUUAGCAGAGGACUGACAUAAGCUGGCCAAAGGCAUGUUCCAUACCAUAUGGCACCAUGUGAAAUAAAUAUAAAACUGAGUAAGUUUUCAUCUCAGCCUACAAGAACUACUUGUUUUUCUCUCCUGGGAGUGGAGGGGGGAGUGAGUAAUGGCUGCAUGGUGUUCAUCUGCCUACCAGCUUAAACCACAUCAGGAAAUCUGAAGUACAGAAAAUAAAGAAAUACAUUGUUGCCCCAUCCACAAAGGAGUACUAUGAGCCACAGCAGCUUUAUGGUGCUUUGCAGAUGUCCAGCUUCAUAGGAAAAGGAAUGGCAUAUUUACAAUUGCAACUGAAGAUACGGCUAUAAUGUGGGCCAACUUUAACCUUCAGCCACACUUGACAGUAGUAGUGAGAGUGGGACUGAGAAUAGAAAGUGAAAGGCAACAGUAGUAACUUCAGCUUGGUGUAUGCUCUGAACGCCACGUAAUGACCUGUUUUAAAGCUGUACACAACCAGGUUAUUUGCAGUUGUUAGCCAUGUUAGAUACAAAAUAUCAUAUCUAACUACAAUCAUGUUUACUAAUAACAGUAAGAAUAUAAAAACAUUACAUAAUUGUCAGAUAACUGUUACGAUCUGAAUUGUCAGAUAAUUCUUACAUCUUAAAUAAAUUUAUGCUGAAUUUAUUUCUAUAUUAUUUUUAAAUACCACUACGAACUGAGAAGAAACCAAAGGAGUGGGAAAAAGUAAGUUUUCACAAAAUAAAUUCGAAACCAAAUCAAAUUACCAAUAUUACAAACUUAACAUUUAACUUUUAACUACUGAAAAUGGAAAAUAUAUAUAUAUAUAUAUAUGUCAAAACCAGGAAAAAGUUUAGAUGGUAAUAGAAACUUGAGUAUCAUGUUCUGGGAGACCCUGUAAAAUAAAACUCUUGCCAAUCAGACUUGGUUAAAAUGUAAAGAGUAUAGUGCAAACAUACAUAUAUAAUCUUUGGAUAAAAUUAAUUUAGUGGAUGAAAUGCAAGGAAGUUUUAUUUUAGAAAUGUAUACUGUUUUGUGGAAAUAUUAAUCUAUAUAGCUGAUAUGUGAA